ACCACGAUGACAGUACAUUACGAAAUCCUGUUUUGAAUCCUAUCUUGCUUUCUAUCCUAACUUGGUAGCAAACUUCAUUGAAGCUGGACUAGUGGGUGAGUAGAAGACCUGCACCUGGAGAGACCCAAAGUGAGAGCUGGUGACCUGGUGGGGGGACCCACAGUCCGGACACAGAGAUCAGAUGUGCGUGGCAAUGCGUGAGGUAGACAGGACAUCGCUGGGGGAAGAGUAGCCCAAGGCAUGGAUUUGUUUUUACCAAACUCAACUGGUGCACUCCACUCUCCCCAGGCUGGGCUCACGAAGCAGGCGCUGCCAGCAGCUCUCAUUUUCAAGAGGUGUUGAUAACGUGGAAGUUCCUUUUACCAGUGAAACUUUUACAAGGCUAGGACAACAUUGCUUGUUAAAGUAGACUGCUGUUACAAGGCAAAAAAACCCCAUAUGUAUGUUUAUUAUGUAUAUAAUAUGUACAUAUCUGUGUAUCUCCUUUAAAAAAUAACCUGUCACUCAAUAAACUUUUUGUUUAGAA